CCUAUAGCCCCCCACAGCCAGCAACACCCACGCACGCGGCACGCAGACGCCGCCGCACGAGCGCCGCCGCUCGCCGUCGCCGGCGACGUGCCGCCGCCCGCCGGCAAGUGGCAAGGAGGACUGCCGGCUGCAAUCUCCGAUCUUGUCAUCAGCCAUCGCAAAGCAGCAGGGGAGGGGAGAGAUGGCGGAGGAGGAGGAGGAGAGGAAGUGGGUGCUGGUCGUGGGGGGCAGCGGCUACCUGGGCCAGCACCUCCUCGCCGCGCUCGCCUCCGCCGCCGGCUGCCUCGACGUCGCCUUCACCCACCACAGCCAGGCCCCGCCGCAGCCACUCCUCGAUGCGCUCCCCUCCGUCCGCGCCGACCUCCGCUCCGGCGACGGCUUCGAGACAAUCGCCGCGUCCUUCGGACAGACGAGACUUACUGAUUCAUCAAGUGAUUGGCGAUUGCCUGACUUAUAUUACAUGAAUUACUACUAGCUCAUCACUACAUAGUUCUCCACUAACUGAGGAGCAUGCUAACUUUGAGGAUCCCUGAAAUUCAGCUCCAGCCUCCAUCUUCUCUGAAAGACCAUGAGCGUUUUCGAGCCAAAUGCGUGAGAGCAGAUAAGGGCUGCAACUGGAUUUUUUUUGCAUCUACCAGCAAGAAGAUAUACAUUGGAUGCAAGGUUAAGAAGAAUGGGCCAACUCACAAUUGUGGUUCAGUAAAUAACUGUGGUGAUACAAUGGCCACAAAUAAUUGGGUAGCUGAAAGGGUGGUUGAUUGGUUGAAGGAGGAUCCAAAAAAGGGACCAAAGGAGUUACAAGCUGCAUUGAAGAAGAGAUGUCCUGAUGCCAUUGCAUACUUAGAUGAGAACCAUCCCUACUUAUGGAGUAGAAGCAAAUUUUCUGAUCAUUGCAAGGUUGAUUACAUCAAUAACAACCUCUCUGAAUCUUUCAACAACUGGGUCAAAGUAAAAGACUUGCAGAUUGUGGAGAUGCAUGACAAUAUAAGACGAAUGAUCAUAGCCAAGUUUGAACUGAGGAGUAAGAUUGCUGAGUCAAUAGAGGGCAAAAUAAUUCCAUCUAUUACUAAGGCUCUUACGACUCAAAGCAAAGCUAUCAAGGACUGUGAAGUAUUAAGGUGUGGACAUGGCACUACUGAAGUAAAUGCACCUACCAAAUCAGGAGUACUUUUCAGGUAUGCAGUAAACUUGGAGUUGAAAACAUGCAGCUGCAGGGCUUGGCAAGUUAGUGGAAAACCUUGUAGACAUGCUUUAGCCUUCAUUGCAAAACUUAGUAGAGAUCCACAUGGAUGACUAUGUUCAUGAAUACUUCUCUGUUGCCAAGUUCAAAAAGACCUAUUCUAGUGUGUUCAAUCCAAUGACAUCAAAGCAAUUUUGGCCACGUGUCGAUCCUGGUUAUAAAAUCAAGAAGCCAAUAUUGAGAAGAAAGCCUGGGAGACCAAGAAAAUCUAGGAUCAAGGCAUCAGAUGAAUCGGGCAGCACAAAGCAAAAGAGGUGCCCAGAAUGCCAUGAACUAGGCCAUACAGCUAAGAAGUGCCAAGGAGGUCUUACUGCUAGACAGAAGAGGAGCCGCUUGUCUUCUGACAAUGUAUUAGAGGAGGGAAGCAAUGAUCCUAGUGCUACACUUCCAUCAUCAUCACGGCACAUAGGGAGAGGUAGAGGUAGAGCUACGAGCGCUAGUACAAGUCACAUUGAAGGAGAAGCACCACCAACAGGAAGGGGUAGAGAAAGAGGAAGAGGAAGGGGAAGAGGAAGAGGUGUUUCAAGGCUUGCUGCAUACUUCAACGCUUAGAAAAUGAUGUUUAGGUGCUUAAUUGUGGCCUAGGAUUGUACUGCAUUAUUUUGGAGUGCUCAAAUGUGAUCUGGCCAUGAUUUCUCUUGUUUUGGGGUGCUCAUGUGAUCUGGACAUGUACUCACUCAUGUGAUCUGCUUAAAAUAUUGGUGACAUGUAUGUUCUAGGUUGCAUGUGGCUUAGACAUGCAAUCUGGAUAUGAAAUUUAAUCAGUCCCUAGUGUAUUCUGUGACAAAAUAUUAUGCUUUAAUGUGAUCGUGAUAUUUGAACUUGUAUGCUUACAUGUGAUUUGGACAUGGAGACGAAAA